rnacentral:rRNA from 1 species
GGGGAAUUUUGGACAAUGGGCGAAAGCCUGAUCCAGCAAUGCCGCGUGUAGGAUGAAGGCCCUCGGGUUGUAAACUACUUUUGUACGGAACGAAAAGACUCUUUCUAAUAAAGAGGGUCCAUGACGGUACCGUAAGAAUAAGCACCGGCUAACUACGUGCCAGCAGCCGCGGUAAUACGUAGGGUGCAAGCGUUAAUCGGAAUUACUGGGCGUAAAGCGUGCGCAGGCGGUUAUGUAAGACAGAGGUGAAAUCCCCGGGCUCAACCUGGGAACGGCCUUUGUGACUGCAUAGCUAGAGUACGGUAGAGGGGGAUGGAAUUCCGCGUGUAGCAGUGAAAUGCGUAGAUAUGCGGAGGAACACCGAUGGCGAAGGCAAUCCCCUGGACCUGUACUGACGCUCAUGCACGAAAGCGUGGGGAGCAAACA